rnacentral:rRNA from 1 species
AUUGAACGCUGGCGGCAGGCCUAACACAUGCAAGUCGAGCGGAGCGUCGGACGGGGGGGUGAUGCCUAGGAAUCUGCCCGGGAGUGGGGGAUAACGUACGGAAGGGGGCGCUAAUACCGCAUACUUUCAGAUGAGCCUAGGUCGGAUAGGCUAGUUGGUGGGGUAACGGCCUACCAAGGCGACGAUCCCUAACCGGUCUGAGAGGAUGAGAAGGCACACUGGAACUGAGACACGGUCCAGACUCCUACGGGAGGCAGCAGUGGGGAAUCGUGGACAAUGGGCGAAAGCCUGAUCCAGCCAUGCCGCGUGUGUGAAGAAGGUCGUCGGAUUGUAAAGCACUUUAAGUUGGGAGGCGUUACCAACAGAAUAAGCACCGGCUAACUACGUGCCAGCAGCCGCGGUAAUUC